CUCAAAUUUGAAAGCUGGUACCUUCGGUAUCCGCGUUGUAACCUCGAGACACGUUUUCCGUGCGGCGCUAUGGACAAGUUCCUUGGAACAGGACAUCGUAGAGGGUGAAAAUCCCGUACUUGCCAUGGAUGUACCGUGCUUUGCGAUACGUGCUCUAAGAGUCGAGUUGUUUGGGAUUGCAGCUCAAAAUGGGUGGUAGACUCCAUCUAAAGCUAAAUAUCGGGGAGAGACCGAUAGCGAACAAGUACCGUGAGGGAAAGAUGAAAAGCACUUUGGAAAGAGAGUUAAAAGUACGUGAAAUUGUCGAAAGGGAAGCGCUUGAAGUCAGCCAUGCCGCUCAGGACUCAGCCUGGCUUUUGCUUGGUGUAUUUCCUGGGUAGCAAGUCAGCAUUGGUUUGGAUCGUCGGAGAAGCAUAGUCGGAAUGUGGCGCCCUCGGGCGUGUUAUAGCCUUCUAUUGGAUACGACGAUCUAGACCAAGGAACGCAGCGCGCCUUAUGGCGGGUCUUCGGACACCUUCGCGCUUAGGAUGCUGGCGUAAUGGCUUUAAGUGGCCCGUC
rnacentral:rRNA from 1 species